GUUUCAGGGCGGGGCGAAAUUCCCCACUGGCGGUAACCGGCGCGGCGCGCAGCGCCUCCGGAAGUCCGCGACCCCGAUCCGGCCUUCGGUCGAAUCGGGCUGAUUCGGUGAGAAUCCGAGACCAACGGUCACAGUCCGGAUGGAAGAGG
rnacentral:ncRNA from 1 species